UUGUUACACUCAAAAAAGUCAACUAAGGCAGUUGUUUGAUUAAUUCAAUAGACAUUUGUCUAUUUAACAUGAACAUAUUGAGUUUAGGUUUUUAAAUCAUUAUCAGUUGUUGGUUUAACAUAAAAUAACAAAAAGUUUAAUGAACUAGAUUUGCAUUCUUCAGUUCAAUUAAAUGUAAUUAUUUUAAAUCAACAACUCUAAAACCGAUGCCUAGUGCGCAUGCUCAAACUUCCCAAAAGUGAAGAGGCGGGAACGCGGAGAAGUUAUAUGUGUUCAGUGGACUGCCAUUUCCCUCUGCGGAAUCUUCCACAAUACAGUAACACCACAAAGAAAGCUGACCCCUUUUUCUGAUUGUUUGUGCCUCCUCUUUAAUACAUGUGACUUGUAUGUGGCAGUGCAAGC